UACGGGAGGCAGCAGUGGGGAAUUUUGGACAAUGGGGGCAACCCUGAUCCAGCAAUGCCGCGUGUGUGAAGAAGGCCUUCGGGUUGUAAAGCACUUUUAUCCGGGAAGAAAGGGCUCUGGUGAAUAAUCGGAGUAGAUGACGGUACCGGAGGAAAAAGCACCGGCCAACUACGUGCCAGCAGCCGCGGUAAU
rnacentral:rRNA from 1 species